UCCAUGGUGGUCUACUGGUUAAGACUCUGUGCUUCCAAUGCAAGGGAUGCAAGUUCAAUCCCUGGCCAGGGAA
rnacentral:tRNA from 1 species